CGCCAGAUAGCUCAGUUGGUAGAACACAUGACUAGAGAUUAAGGGGUCUGGGCUCAAAUCCUGGUCUGGUCC
rnacentral:tRNA from 1 species